CAGCCGCCGCGGGAAUACGUAGGUGGCAAGCGUUGUCCGGAAUUAUUGGGCGUAAAGGGCUCGCAGGCGGUUUCUUAAGUCUGAUGUGAAAGCCCCCGGCUCAACCGGGGAGGGUCGUUGGAAACUGGGAAACUUGAGUGCAGAAGAGGAGAGUGGAAUUCCACGUGUAGCGGUGAAAUGCGUAGAGAUGUGGAGGAACACCAGUGGCGAAGGCGACUCUCUGGUCUGUAACUGACGCUGAGGAGCGAAAGCGUGGGGAGCGAACAGGAUUAGAUACCCCCGUAGUCCCUGUCUCUUAUAC
rnacentral:rRNA from 1 species